GAGCUCAGGGGGUGUCUGCAGACUUGGGCAGAACUUGAUGGCUUCUGACUCCUCCCUGCUACCCUCAAACCAGGCGUGGCUUCCCAGAGCAUGCAGGACAGGACCACAAGCCUGGUAUUGCCAAGACACGGAGGACACCAACCACAAAGCCCAGGAAGCUGGGGCUGUGGAAGCCCAAAACACAGAUGAAUGCUCCCAGUUCUGUGGCCCGAGCAACGAAGCCCAGCUGCCUCACCUG